UACGUAGGGGGCAAGCGUUGUCCGGAAUUAUUGGGCGUAAAGGGUGCGUAGGCGGCGCGGUAAGUCGGGUGUGAAAUCUCGGAGCUUAACUUCGAAACUGCAUUCGAUACUGCCGUGCUUGAGGACUGGAGAGGAGACUGGAAUUUACGGUGUAGCGGUGAAAUGCGUAGAUAUCGUAAGGAAGACCAGUGGCGAAGGCGGGUCUCUGGACAGUUCCUGACGCUGAGGCACGAAGGCCAGGGGAGCAAACGGG
rnacentral:rRNA from 1 species